rnacentral:tRNA from 1 species
GGGGAUUUAGCUCAGUGGUAGAGCGCUUGCCUUGCAAGCACAAGGCCCUGGGUUCGGUCCCCAGCUCUG